rnacentral:rRNA from 1 species
AUUGAACGCUGGCGGCAUGCCUUACACAUGCAAGUCGAACGGUAACGCGGGGCAACCUGGCGACGAGUGGCGAACGGGUGAGUAAUACAUCGGAACGUGCCCAGUAGUGGGGGAUAGCCCGGCGAAAGCCGGAUUAAUACCGCAUACGACCUAUGGGUGAAAGCGGGGGAUCGCAAGACCUCGCGCUAUUGGAGCGGCCGAUGUCAGAUUAGGUAGUUGGUGGGGUAAAAGCCUACCAAGCCGACGAUCUGUAGCUGGUCUGAGAGGACGACCAGCCACACUGGGACUGAGACACGGCCCAGACUCCUACGGGAGGCAGCAGUGGGGAAUUUUGGACAAUGGGCGCAAGCCUGAUCCAGCCAUG